ensembl:lncRNA
CUGGGCUUCAAUACAAAAAGCAGUAAGCAAAGAGGUGGGGUAGGGACAAAAGUCCAGGAAGACUUUAAUCUAAAAGAGGCAGAUGCCACAUUCUACUAAGAACCGGGGAAAUGAAGAAAGAGGAACGCCUGGACCCAGAGUGCCCCAAGGAAUGAGAAGUUUUACAAUGUGAAGAGCAGAAUGACAGAGCUGUUCAUUUCUUAAGACUACCUACCUUGUGGAGCCAACUCUGGUAAAAGUGCAUGUCGGAUAAGAAGUGCAAGUUUCGGGGUGACCUUCCUGACCCAGGGAUCCAACCCAAGUCUCCUGCAUUGGCAGACAGAUUCUCACCACUGUGCCGCCUGGGAAGCCCAACACUGGGCAUAAGAUAAGCAUUUUGCAUAAAUCAUAUAGAAUAAAGUUAAAUAAAAUAGCUACAUUAUUCAAGAGUGGUUAAAGAUCCUUUCAUUGGACUUAAGUCCACUUGAAGUCAUUGUUCACAGCUUUUGAUGUUCAAGCCUAUCUCAAAAAUCUUU